rnacentral:rRNA from 1 species
GCAUAUCAAUAAGCGGAGGAAAAGAAACCAACAGGGAUUGCCUUAGUAACGGCGAGUGAAGCGGCAAAAGCUCAAAUUUGAAAUCUGGUACCUUUGGUGCCCGAGUUGUAAUUUGAAGAUAGUUUUCUGGUGCUGGCCCCCGUCUAUGUUCCUUGGAACAGGACGUCACAGAGGGUGAGAAUCCCGUCUGGCGGGGUGGUCCAGUGCUUUGUAGAUUUCUAUCGACGAGUCGAGUUGUUUGGGAAUGCAGCUCUAAGUGGGUGGUAAAUUCCAUCUAAAGCUAAAUAUUGGCGAGAGACCGAUAGCGAACAAGUACAGUGAUGGAAAGAUGAAAAGAACUUUGAAAAGAGAGUGAAAAAGUACGUGAAAUUGUUGAAAGGGAAGGGUAUUAGAUCAGACUUGGUGUUUUGUGAUUAUCUUCCCUUCUUGGGUUGUGCACUCGCAUUUCACUGGGCCAGCAUCGGUUUGGGUGGCAAGAUAAUGGCUUGGGGAACGUGGCACUGUCUUCGGGCAGUGUGUUUAUAGCCCCUGCUGAUGUUGCCUGCCUAGACCGAGGACUGCGGCUUCUGCCUAGGAUGCUGGCGUAAUGAUCUAACACCGCCCGUCUUGAAACACGGACC